GAUGAACGCUAGCGGCAGGCCUAAUACAUGCAAGUCGAGGGGUAGAGCUAGCUUGCUAGCUUGAGACCGGCGCACGGGUGCGUAACGCGUAUGCAACCUACCUCAAUCAGGGGGAUAGCCCGGAGAAAUCCGGAUUAACACCGCACAAAAACACAGGGUAGCAUUACCCAAUGUUCAAAUAUUCAUAGGAUUUGGAUGGGCAUGCGUGCCAUUAGUUAGUUGGCGGGGUAACGGCCCGCCAAGGCGACGAUGGCUAGGGGAUCUGAGAGGAUGACCCCCCACACUGGUACUGAGACACGGACCAGACUCCUACGGGGGGCAGCAGUAAGGAAUAUUGGUCGAUGGGGGCAACCCUGAACCAGCCAUGCCGCGUGCAGGAUGACGGCCCUCCGGGUUGUAAGCUGCUUUUGUACGGGAAUAAACCUUUCUUCGUGAAGAAAGCUGAAUGUACCGUAAGAAUAAGGAUCGGCUAACUCCGUGCCAGCAGCCGCGGUAA
rnacentral:rRNA from 1 species